rnacentral:rRNA from 1 species
CAGCCGCCGCGGUAAUACGAAGGGGGCUAGCGUUGCUCGGAAUUACUGGGCGUAAAGGGCGCGUAGGCGGACAGUUAAGUCAGAGGUGAAAGCCCAGGGCUCAACCUUGGAAUUGCCUUUGAUACUGGCUGUCUAGAGUGCGGGAGAGGUGUGUGGAACUCCGAGUGUAGAGGUGAAAUUCGUAGAUAUUCGGAAGAACACCAGUGGCGAAGGCGACACACUGGCCCGUAACUGACGCUGAGGCGCGAAAGCGUGGGGAGCAAACAGGAUUAGAUACCCCAGUAGUCCCUGUCUCUUAUAC